UUAAGGGGCUUUUCGGGCUUCGGCUCGACUCUCCCACCCUUUGUGAACGUACCUCUGUUGCUUUGGCGGCUCCGGCCGCCAAAGGACCUCCAAACUCCAGUCAGUAAACGCAGACGUCUGAUAAACAAGUUAAUAAACUAAAACUUUCAACAACGGAUCUCUUGGUUCUGGCAUCGAUGAAGAACGCAGCGAAAUGCGAUAAGUAAUGUGAAUUGCAGAAUUCAGUGAAUCAUCGAAUCUUUGAACGCACAUUGCGCCCCUUGGUAUUCCGGGGGGCAUGCCUGUUCGAGCGUCAUUACAACCCUCAAGCUCUGCUUGGAAUUGGGCACCGUCCUCACUGCGGACGCGCCUCAAAGACCUCGGCGGUGGCUGUUCAGCCCUCAAGCGUAGUAGAAUACACCUCGCUUUGGAGUGGUUGGCGUCGCCCGCCGGACGAACCUUCUGAACUUUUCUCAAGGUUGACCUCGGAUCAGGUAGGGAUACCCGCUGAACUUAAGCAUAUCAAUAAGGCGGAGGAA
rnacentral:rRNA from 1 species